rnacentral:lncRNA from 1 species
ACUGUGAAAAUAUAAAGAAAGAGGACUUUUAUUAAUGUUCAGUUACCUCGAAUAUUAGGAGCAACGACCAAUUCCAGUGCAAAUACUGAGAGGCUAGGUUCAGUCACCCCGUUACACUCAGCCGAGGCAUACUGAAAUGCUCCAUUCGAUUCCAAUAACGGGAGUCAGCAUGAAGGAAAAGAACAAUUCAAAGAUAGGUGAGCCUAGUUCAAAGAGCCAAUUGGAUCCAAUUUCAAGACAUCCAAUCCAAGUCAUAUUACGGGCCUUUUACCCAAUAUGAGACCUGAAUUGGUCGGGCAACCCAAUGCGAUCCAAUUGCGGGAACAUCCAGGUCUUACUACAGGUGUCUUAGCCAAUAUGAGACCUGAAUUGGUCGGGCGACUCAAUGUGGUCCCGAUUACGGGGGUUCGAUUCUGUUUCAGGCUGUCCUGUUCUCUAUGCCGUUUCAUGGAAUGUUGUUUUUGGUAAAAAGAUCUCUUAAAGGUAAAAACGGAGGAGAAAGCUCUGAUGGCAGGAGCCAAUUCCGGAUCCAAGACGGAAGAUUGAAGAAAUUCAGAGAUUAGGGUUUGAAAGAGGGGAGAAUUAGGGUUAAAAGAGAGAAUAGGUUAAAAAAUGAAAGGGGAGAGAAUGAGUUUUUGAAGGGGAGAGAAUAAAGUUUGUGAAGGGUCGAAGAGCUAGCUUCAUGCUCCGAGGCAGGAAAAAAAGAUAGAGAAUUGGGGUUUUUUUUUCUUCAUAGGGUUUCGGAAAGACUGAGGCAAUCGUUGCUGAAGUCAGUGUUGUACUAGUGAAUCAGGAUUUUAAUGAAGUGGGUGUGAUUACUCUUGACUGUUUUAUGAAAUCGAGUUAUGUCUAUGAUGAAGAAUUAAAAGAGUGUCUAUAGGAUUGAAUAUGUGGAGUGAAUGAAAUUUAUUGGAUUAAUCUAACGAGACAGUCAGUGGAUACAAGAUCGUGAGUAUAAGCGGUAUCGAAGAUUAGCAGUUUGGGUUAUUCGAGAUUCUCUGUAACGUCUAGAGACCUAUCGGUUGGGACAAAAAGGACUUCGACAAGCAGUCGAAGGACAUCCGUAUAGAUUUAUAGUAUAUUCUUGCAGUCGUUUAUAUUCCAAUAGUCAAAAACCGAUAGACUGCUUGAAUAUUAGCAAAUCUCCAUACUACCUUCUACAGCCAGACGUCCGAUGCAUUUUCGAGUAGGAAAGCACGUAAUACGACAUAAAGUGGUGAACCCGACGUGAAAGCUUGAGGUAGAAGGUAUUGGAUUUCAUUUGGUUUUAUUUUUAUUUUUAUGGAAAACGAAAAUAAAAAUUUUGAAGGAUUUUUGGGAGGAGUUUCUGGUGGGGGUUCUUCUAAAGGACAAGGUAUGCACAUGGAUCCAUCUAUUGCUAGUAUGUUUCAAGCCUUCUCAUUAUCAAUGCAGCAACAGCAAAGCAAUGAUCGAAAGGAAGCUUUGGCAACCAAAGCAUUGCAAGCAGUGGUCAAUAAAAUUGAUCAAUUUCAUAGAAGGAAUAUUUCAAGGUAUUUAAGAUGUUAUGUUCUUGAAAUGGAAUUAAAUCGGAUUUCUGAGAAGAAAAUGGUUGAAUUAUUUGGACUUGCCACGAUACCAAAGAUAAGAGACCAUAUUAUAUCGAUUACGGAUCGUUAUGGGAAUUCAUGGGAGAUUUUUUCACAUGCAUUGAAAGAUGAAUAUUUCUUAGAAGAUGCUCAUCGCGUUACUAAAAAGUUGUUUCUGGAAUGGAUUGAACGGCCUAAUAAGAAUUUGCAAGCAACAGAGCUACUAAGGGAAUUUGAGAGGCUGUACUCUCAAUUGUCGAAGGUAGAAAAAUUGACAUUGGAGCCGAACAAAGUUGAUCUAUUUCUUCAAGCUACUGAUGGAGAAUUGCAAGGGAAAUUGUAACUCCUUCUUGAAGACAAAGAAGAAGAUGAAGGAUUGACAACAAAGUGGAAGAAUGUUGAAGAUGCGGUGGAGUUGCUUAUAAAAAGAGAAAGGAGGAAGGAUAGGAGCAAUAUUCCGAAAACAGUACAAGCACCCAAAGCUCCAAUACGUACAACACCACCAACAAUGCCUACAGUUCAACCUUCAACAUCCUUAUCAAGGAAAGCAGAUAUGGGGAUGGAAGAAAUUAUACGAGGAAUGCAAGAUCUUCAAAUCAAAUUGGCAAGACUUGAAGAGAAUACUUCUACAAACAAUUCGAAGAAUGUUUCAAAACAAGGAUAUUGUCCAAGAUGCCUUUGGUGUGAUGACGCUUCACACACUAGNNNNNNNNNNNNNNNNNNNNNNNNNNNNNNNNNNNNNNNNNNNNNNNNNNNNNNNNNNNNNNNNNNNNNNNNNNNNNNNNNNNNNNNNNNNNNNNNNNNNAAUAUGAUACGGCAAGGAAUAAUUGGCUGAAAAGAUGAGAAGAUAGUGUUAAAAGAUAGGGAGGAUCUUCUUCAAACCAAUUUUGGCAAGGGAGGAAUGAGAGCAUUGGUUCAAGAUUACUUAAAAGAGUAUGAAACAACAGCACGAGAAAGUGCAAGUUAUGGUACUAGAGUAGAUGAUGACCUUGGUAGAAGAACAGAAACUAGUGAGUUUUGGGCUUCUGCCAUUUCUAUAAUGCAAGAAAGGAAAUUACCUUGAGAAGCGUUAUUGAGGACUGCAGCUACAAUACGAGGUGCAACAGGUUGGGAGGAUCCUGUUGAGUCUCUUUCAGUUCAUGCAUAUAUUGCUAAGAGCCAACAUGAAGCUUUGAUGGAAGAAAAGAGACGAGAAAAUUUUGAUGAUACGAGAGAAGGAAAUUUUUCUAAGAGACAAACUCGAGGAGACAAGGCUCGGGAGGCAACUUCACAAGAAUUGCCUGUAAAGGAUACCUCAACAUCAUUGGAAGAAAAAAGAAGGGAGAUAAAAGAUAAGGACAAAUCAAUUGCUUAUAAGCUACUUUCUGACAUUGAAGCGGCAACAAAUUUGAAAGGGGUGUUGGAAGAACAUAUAUUAAACGCUAAGGUGGAAUUCACAUUGAAAGAAGUCUUGGAAAUUACAAAGAAGGAGUUUCUUGAUGUUAUCAUUCACAGCAUUAAGUUAAAGAGGCAAUUAAUGGGCGAAACUGGAAUGAGUCAUGCUAUUGAUGCAAGAAUAUAUAAAGAUGAAGAAGAGGUUGAUAUGGGUUACAAGCAACCAACAAAUGAAAAGAAUGGGUAUAAUCAGCGAGUACGUUUCGAAGAUUCUAGUGACAAGGAAAUGGGAACUUUGAGCCAUUAUACUCGAAAGCAUUGGGCAAGGAUAACUACUGAUGUAUUGGUGAAGAUACGAGAUAUAGAAGAACCAAUAGUUGCUUUGGUCGACCAUGGUUCUGAAAUAAAUUUCAUGUCUAAAGAUCUUUAUAAGAAGCAAAAAUGGCCAAUUGAUAUGGAACAUGGAUGGGCAAUACGAGCAGCUAAUAACACAUGGGGCGAAUUAUAUGGAGCUUGUCCAGAUGUCAAAAUUCGGAUUGGAGAUGUUGCGACGGAGCAACAUUUCUUCGUUCAAGAUACAACGUCUUAUCCGUUGAUUUUAGGACAACCUUAUAUUACGGUAAUACGGAUGGAAACAAAAGUAAUUGACGAUGAUUCUGCUUAUGCAAGGGUACGUAGCAAAGAUAGGAGAAAAGUUGUAUAAUUUCUAAUAGUACCUCCUAACCAUGAACGGAAUCGAGAUAGGUUGAGGGAGAAACCAUUGCCAAAGAUUGUUGAAGGAUUUAAGGAUUUUGGAGAGGUACCACUGUAAAGCGAGAUUAUGGAGGUACAAAAGAGGAGGUACUCUUGCGAGAUGAAGGUGCCUUUGAUGCGAGUUUUUAUUGGUAUUUUGGAGAAUGGAAAUAUUAUGUAUAAAAAAGUUGAUGAUUUUAAAAGAAAAGAAAGAAAAAGAUUAUAUGAUAUUGAAGGAGAAUUACGCAAGUUAGGUAAGCAGCAAGAGAUGAAAGUGAUUUGGAUAAUGAAGGUGACGAAGACGAACUGGACAAAGACGUAGAGAAUAUAUUCUAAAUCAAACAGCAAUUAGGUAAAUUGGUGCAUACCGGAGGAUGCACAGGUUCAGAGGGGGUGGAUGUCGUGUUGUAACAUGAGUAUACUGUGAAAAUAUAAAGAAAGAGGACUUUUAUUAAUGUUCAGUUACCUCGAAUAUCAUGAGCAACGACCAAUUCCAGUGCAAAUACUGAGAGGCUAGGUUCACUCACCCUAUUACACUCAGCCGAGGCAUAUUGAAAUGCUCCAUUCGAUUCCAAUAACGGGAGUCAGCAGGAAGGAAAAGACCAAUUCAAAGAUAGGUGAGCCUAG